rnacentral:rRNA from 1 species
UACAGAGGGCGCGAGCGUUGUCCGGAAUCACUGGGCGUAAAGGGCUCGUAGGCGGCCAACUAAGUCAGACGUGAAAUCCCUCGGCUUAACCGGGGAACUGCAUCUGAUACUGGAUGGCUUGAGUUCGGGAGAGGGAUGCGGAAUUCCAGGUGUAGCGGUGAAAUGCGUAGAUAUCUGGAGGAACACCGGUGGCGAAGGCGGCAUCCUGGGACCGACACUGACGCUGAGGAGCGAAAGCCAGGGGAGCAAACGGG